GAUCAUGGCUCAGGAUGAACGCUAGCUACAGGCUUAACACAUGCAAGUCGAGGGGCAGCAUGUCGGUUGCUUGCAACCGACGAUGGCGACCGGCGCACGGGUGAGUAACGCGUAUCCAACCUACCCUUGUCCAUCGGAUAACCCGUCGAAAGGCGGCCUAACACGAUAUGCGGUUCUCAGCAGGCAUCUAACGAGAACGAAAUGUGAAGGAGAAGGAUGGGAGUGCGU
rnacentral:rRNA from 1 species